rnacentral:lncRNA from 1 species
CAUAUGGAGGUUCCCCAGGCUAGGGGUCGAAUCAGAGUGUAGUUGCUGGCCUACGCCACCGCCACAGCAACACGGGAUCCGAGCCAUGUCUGUGACCUACACCACAGCUUAUGGAAACACCGGAUCCUUAACCCACUGAAUGAGGCCAGGGAUGGAAUCUGCAUCCUCAUGGAUGAUAGUCAGAUUCACUUCUGCUGCGCCACAACUGGAACUCUGGGAUUACCUUGUAUUAGAUACAACCCCUGAAAUAUUAUGCUAACUCUGGUCGAGAAGGAAGGGUAGUUAACAUACAAACCACCAGAAAUAUCUUGGGAAGACUACAAUGUUUCCACUCAUUCUUAUUUGAGAGAAUGUGAAUGAGAUGUGGGUUUUUUGUUUGCUUUUAAUUGUAGAUGAAUGAAGAACAUCUGAAAUGUAAUAUUAAUGCUUAAGGUCCAACAUCAAUCAUCCAACUGAGAGGCAGAUGCAAGCAGACACAAGAGGCCACAGAGGAUGCUUGACCCUGUUUACAGUGAUGCCUCCCACCUGUUUCUUCUCUUCUAAGCCCAAUGCUUACAGUUCAAGCUGGGGCUUGAACUGUAAGGGAUCCAGAAUGGAAAAGAAAUAGGAUGCUUCAAAGGGCUCAGCAGCCAAGAGACAAAGUAAAUAGAUGUUCACAAUAUGGAAGCCAAAACAUCUGAAACAUACAGAUGAAGAAAUUUAACCUUCUAAAAAUGACGGUCAAAUGGCGCCACUACCGGAAUUUAAUUUAUCUCUAUAACUCAGAUCAAGAGCAUAAAGUCCCUUCGGUCAUUUAUAAUAUUGGUGUAUGAGAUGUAUCAACCUAAGGAAAUCUUUAUAGCGUUCAGUGGUAGUCUUUUUUACCUGCCUUAACACUAAUUUCUUUUUUGUUUAAUAUGUAUUGUUCCCCCCACCAGCUUUAUUGAAAUAUUUGACAUAUAACAUUUUGUAAUACAUUGUGAUGAUUUGAUAAACCUAUAUAUUGUGAAAUGAUUACCAUAAUAAGGUUAAUUUACACAUCCUUCACUUCACAUAGUCACCAGUUUUUUGUUAUGGUGAGAAUAUUUAAGAUUUACCCCUGCAGUGAUUUUCAUUCUCUUAUAUUAAUUUUAUUCAUUCAUUUCUUUAAAAUUCAACUUACAUUUAGGUAAUACUAGGAAAUAUUAAUAUUUAUAGGAUGAGGAAAUGAAUGGAUGUAAUUGCAUUUAUUUCUCAUAUCAGCAAUCUGAUGAAACAGAUACUAUUCUCAUAUUGUAGAUGGGAAAACUAGAGCUCUGAAUUGUUAAGUCACUUGACCAAGGACAGAAACUCCUAGUCUGUCUGUCAUCAAAACAUUAUACAUAUUGUAUGUCUAUCUUCAUAUUUCUGGAGAUCUGAGGAGGAUAAGGAUGGAAAGUAGGGAGAUAGAAAAAAAGUGGUAAUAUUCACUUUAUAAAGGGUAGCUUUGCUUUUUUGUGAAUGAGAUUCCCUGAUGUGUAUAUUAUUAGAAAGUCUAAGGAAGAAACCCAUAGUUUGGCAAAAUACUGAAUAGAGGAACAAGGGCUUCUGCUAAUGAUUUCCUGAAACUUGCCUCAGGCUCGCAGCUGGGAAGAAGGAAAUGAUUGCAUCCCAAGGCACACAGUAACUUACUAUGGAUGGUUUCAGAUAUUUCUUAGGUUGGGAAACUUAAGGGAAAAAUAAAAUAUUAAGGUGAGGGUUGAAUUAGGACACUAAAAAAUGCUCAGUAGCCCCGGGGCAAUCCCUGGAUACUUGCUUCCAUACUUCUAACUUGCAACCAAACCUUUGGUUCCACCAUUUUAGCUGAUUGUUUAUUACUUGCCUUUGCUCAUAUAUUAUUGCUGCCUUCUGAAAUAAAACACUUCAAUCCAGGGAUCGUAGCAACAGUACCAGUCUCUUGGUGAUUUAUUCUUCAUCACUCUUCCAGAGGUAGCUCCCACCUUGUGUUGUCACUACCCUCUCUUCCUUCCUGAUAUUUCUAAAACAUAUUUCCCUUUAUUUUUUCCCAUCCUCAAAAGGGGGCUAACCCGUGUUUCUUUGUUUUUCACCAUCUGUAAAGGUCACUAUAUAUUUUUCAUACUCUCUUAUCCAUUUUUUCCAUUCCUCUUCAUUCUAUUAAACACUUUUAAUUUUAGGAACACAUUUUUCAUGUUCAUCAUAAUUACUAGAUAUCUGAAAGCUUGCUUUGAAUAAUAGUACCCCCAGUAGGAAGAAGGGUUAAUUUGAUAUCUGUUGGACAGCCAAAAUGGAAUAAAAUUUUCACUUUUCCCAUUUUUAUAAUUUGCCUAAAAAUGUAUAAAACUAUUUAUUUUAUUAAGUAUAGUACAUUAACCUUGUGAAUAUGCUAAUGACUAAAAAUCUGCUGUCUCGGCAACUUCCCUGAACAUAAAAUUUAUCUUUGUUCAUCACAGAGAUUUUAAUUAUAUAUUAUUAUUUCCUAAGAGCACCUCCUGUUCCAAAUUGAUGCAAUCUUCAAAAUGGAAGUGAUGUUCAGUGAAAGCCGCAUAAGAAGCAAAGCAGAACCUGUGGCUAACACUGACUGUGGGCAUCAGUCAAGUUCAACUACAUAUUUCUAUCUGCUGACCUCUCUAGGACUCUGAUUGCUCAGGUCAGUGGUCACUGACUCUUAGCAGGGGAUAAAAAAGAGCUUUUAUUCUUUGAGCGCCAUUACAAUCCCAGGUUUCUUGGUGGAUUCUUAUGUAGCACAGGUCAGGAUAAAAUCACAUUAUUCCAAGCAAUGCAAAAGUUAUAAAUUAUUCUUCCUGGCCAUGGUGAAAUAAAAAAUGGCAAAGUGCAAUCAAAUGUUCAAAGAUUUCUCUCAAAGCUGAGAAAUGAAUGAUGUUAUCUGGUAUGACAUUAUAUGUUCCUUCAGUAAAACAAAUCCAGAUUCAAUCAUUCAAGGGACACUUCCUGAGAUCAUGAUAAAUUCUUAGGUUAGCCUUCUAAAUUUCGAGGUGUGUGGAAGGGCUUUUUAUUUUGUGUCUGGUUAAGAUUCCUAUCUAUAUCAGUCUCCUACUGGCCUGGCUGUGAUGAAAGGCACAGGGAUUGCCCCACAGUCAGCUCAAUUAUUCUCGUCCUGAUUGAGGUUUUGGCUGGGUGAUGAUGAACUGCCAUCACCCAGUGGCUGAUUUAGUGGCUGAUUUGCUCAGAGUAAAUCCCCAGAUGGCUUUAUUUUUAGAUUCGAGACAAGAUUCCAAAAGACAGCAUUUUGUCCCUACUUCCAUGGUGAUUAUAGCUCAAAGAGCUGGAGGGAGGUAUUCUUAAUGGCCUCAAAAGUGGUUAGGAAUGAGUUAAAUUUGACCAGAUUAGAUAAUGGCUACUGAUUACUUAGUGCUCUAUGUGUCAACCAUUGUGUUAAACUCCUUACAUGCAUUAUCUAAUUUAAUCUCAUAAUCUUAACACAAUCUACACAGUCUUCCAGGAUAGGUGAAAAGAGGUGAAUUAUCUGCUCUAGAAGAGUUGAUGUCUCCCUACUUUUUAUAGGACAGACCAAACAGCAUCUGAAAAAUUCUGCUAUUUUUUUUCACCUAUCUGUCCUGCUCAAUGCUGGGAUGUCAAUAGGACAUUCUAUAUUUAGCUUCCUGAAUCUAGAAAUUAAAUGCCAGCAUGAUCCAUUCAGAGUUGUGUUUCUAUACAUGUGGGUUUGUUUAGCCCUGAGGGAAAAAGUUGCAGGUGACCUUUCUUUCUUGUGCUUACUAGACUCAAAAAUACAUAUAGAAGUUAGACGAGACCAGCGCAGAAGGACGGAUAUAUAUAUAUAUAUAUAUAUAAAAAGAUCCACAAUUGGUUGAAUCUGUAGAUCCGUAACUGUGGCUACAGAAGAACCACAUAUAUAGGGAGCUGAUUAUAAGUUAUAAGCAAAUCUUUGACUACAUACAAGAUCAGUGCUCCUAACCCCUGCAUUGUUCAAGGGUCAACUGGAUUUUCUGUUUCUAUGGAUCUGACUAGAUACCUCAUGUAUGUGGAGUAAUGCACUGCAUGUGCUUCUGUGACUGGCUUAUUUCAUGCAGCAAAAUGUCCUCAAGGUUCAACUUCAUUGCAGCAUAUGACAGGGUUUUCCUGGUUUUUUUUUUUGUGACCGAAUAAUAUCCCAUUGUAUGUAUAUAUCACAUUUUCUUUAUACAUUCAGCAACUGGUGGACAUUUAGAUUGUUUCUGGCUCUAUUAUGAAUAUUGCUACAAUAAACAAAGGAGUAAAAUAUCUCUUAGAGACUUUGAUUUAAAUUAUUAUGGAUAUAUGCCCAGAAGUGAGAUUUCUGAGUCAAAUAGUUGUUUUACUUUUAAUUUUUCGAAGAACCUGCAUACUGUGUUCUAUAUUGGCUACACCAAUUUACACCAAUUUACACCAACACUGCACAGGGUUCAAAUUUCUCUACAUCCUGGCCAACACUUGUUAUUUUCAGUUUUGUUUUGUUUUGCUUUGAUUAUAGUAGCCAUCCUAAUACCUCAUUGUACUUUUUAUUUGCAUUUCCCUGAUGUUCAAUAAUACUGAACAUCUUUUCACAUAUAUACUGACUUUUUGUAUAUAUUCUUUGAAGAAAUUGUUGAUUUUUAAUUGAGUCAUUCAGUUUUUUUGCUAUUUAAUGAGAUCUUAAACUUGCUAGGACUUGUUUUGUGAUCUAACAUGUGAUCUAUCCUAGAGUAUGUUCCUGUGUGCAUGAGAAGAAUGUGUAUUCUAUUGUUGUUGGGUGUAAUGUUCUAUAAAUAUGUUAGGUCAUUUGUUCUAUAAUGUUAAACUUUUCUGUUUCCCUCAAUCUUUUCUCUGAAUGUUUUAUUCUUUAUGAAAGUGAGAUAUUGAAAUCCUCUAUGAUUAUUGCUUUGCUGUCUAUUUCUUCAUUCAGUUCUAUCAGGUUUUCUUAAUACAUUUGGGUGCUCUGGUGUUGAGUGCUUAUGUAAUUGUAAUUAUUAUAUCUUCCCAAUGAAUUGACCCUUUUAGCAUUAUAUAAUGUUUUUCUUUGUCUCUUUUGACAGGUUUUGACUUAAAGUCUAUUUUGUCUGAUAUAAAUAUGGCCAUUCAUUUGACUAUUUUUAGUUACCAUCUCUUUUAUUUACCCUCUGCAUGAAUUGUAUUUUUCCAUUCUUUCACUUUCAGGAAUGUGUGUCCUUUAAAUAUAAAACUAAUCUCUCAUAGAUAGCAUACAAUUGAAGGUUGGCUUUUUAUCUAUUAAACCACUCUAUUUCUCUUGACUGGAGUUUACAUUUACAUUUAAAGUAAUUAUUGAUGACAGGAUUAAGAUGGUAGAAAAGAAGGACUAGAGCUCAACUUCUCUCAUAAAAACAGCAAAAUUACAAUCAAAUGCAGAACAACCUUCAAUCAAAUCGACUGGAAACUUUCAAAAAGAUAUCCUACUUCAUAAGACAAAGAGGAGGCCACAUCAAGAGGUAGAAGGAGUGAUCAUGUGAUAUAAGCAACCCCAUACCUGCUGGGUGGGAACCCUAUAGACUGGAAAGUAACUGUAUCACAGAGACUCACCUAUAGGAGUGAGAGUUCUGAGCCCCAAGUCAGGUCCCCGUGCCAAGGGAUCUAGCACCGGGAGAAAGAGCGCCUGGAGCAUCUGGCACUGAAGGCCACUGGGGCUUGUGUGCAGGAGCACCAUAGGAUUGGGGAAUUGGAGAUCCAAUUCUUGAAAGGCACACACAGUCUUUCAUGUGCACUGGGUUCCAGGGCAAAGCAGAGGCUCCAUAGGAAUCUGGGUUGGACCUGGCUGGAGUUCUUGGAGGAUCUCCUGGGAAAACAGGGGUGACUGUGAUUCAUUAUGGGGGAAGGACAUUGGAGGCAAAGCUCUCGGGAAGGGAAUAUUCAUCAGCAUGUGUUCUUCUAGAGGUGGCCAUUUUGGGAAAAUCUGACCCCACCCAUCAGCACUGUGAAGCCCCAGGCCAAACAAUAAUCCAGAUAGAAUCAGAGCCCUACCUAUCAGUAAAGAGGCUGCCUAAAGAGCCCCCAGGCACCCUCUAAUCUCACCUAGAGACACAGACCCACAAAACAGACACAGGAAUCAGCCCCACGUACCAGUGGGCAGGCACCAGUAGUCCCAUCAUAAAGCUUAUAGCAGGCCUUUGUACCAACUUCAGCCACAAGG